UCAUUUCCCUAACGUUCGAAUGUCUUUUCCCUAACGUUCGGAGCGUUCGAAUGUCUUUUCCCUAAUGUUCCUAACGUUCGGAGGUCAUUUCUCUAACGUUCCUAACGUUCGGAUGUCUUUUCCCUAACGUUCCUAACGUUCGGAUGUCUUUUCCCUAACGUUCGGAGCGUUCGGAUGUCUUUUCCCUAAUGUUCCUAACGUUCAGAGGUCAUUUCCCUAACGUUCAGAAGUCAUUUCCCUAACGUUAGGCGAUCAUUUCCCUAACGUUCGGCUCAAUUCUGCUCCCUAAAGAUCUAACAAAUAUCCAAAGGUCGGUUUAGAAGCUUCUGUGAACAAGUGGAAGACAGGUGUGAUAAAGCAAAUCUCUUGACAUGUGACGUCAUCCAAACAGUACGACACACGUGGGUGUACCGCCUCCCGGUUCAGCACUCCAAGCCUUGCCUAUAAAUACAAGACCACCCCCUCAUGUGAAAGGGUCU